CCUACGGGAGUCAGCAGUGGGGAAUAUUGGACAAUGGGCGAAAGCCUGAUCCAGCCAUGCCGCGUGUGUGAAGAAGGCCUUCGGGUUGUAAAGCACUUUCAGUGGGGAAGAAAGCCUUGGGGCUAAUACCCUCGAGGAAGGACAUCACCCACAGAAGUAGCACCGGCUAACUCCGUGCCAGCAGCCGCGGUAAUACGGAGGGUGCGAGCGUUAAUCGGAAUUACUGGGCGUAAAGCGCGCGUAGGCGGUCUGAUAAGCCGGUUGUGAAAGCCCCGGGCUCAACCUGGGAACGGCAUCCGGAACUGUCAGGCUAGAGUGCAGGAGAGGAAGGUAGAAUUCCCGGUGUAGCGGUGAAAUGCGUAGAGAUCGGGAGGAAUACCAGUGGCGAAGGCGGCCUUCUGGACUGACACUGACGCUGAGGUGCGAAAGCGUGGGUAGCAAACAGGAUUAGAUACCCUAGUAGUC
rnacentral:rRNA from 1 species